GAAUGAGAGAGGGGGAGGGGGUUGUAUAAGUUUUGUUACUCUAGAGAAUCCUCACUAAUACAGAUCCCCUGGAGCUGAAGUUACAGGCGGUUGUGAGCUGCCUGAUGUGAAUGCUGGAAAAGCAGUUGAUGCUCUUAACUGCCAGGCCAUCUCUCCAGCCCGUGUUGAUUGCCUUUACUAACUUGCUCAGAUCUCUUAAAUAGAGUUUGCUAGAUUUUAAGAAUUUAUUUAUUUAUGUUUAUGUAUAUGUGCAUGUGUCUGCAUGAGCUUAUGUGUACCGUGUGCAAGCAGGUACCUACAAAGGCCAGAGAAUGUCAGGUUCCCUGAAACUGAAGUUACAGGGUGGGAAAAGAACCUGAGUCCUCUGGAAGAGCAGUAAGUACUUUAAACUACUGAGCCACCUCUCUAGCCACUGAGCGAAAGAAGCCAAAAAAAAAAAAAAAAAAACACAGCACAAAACAAAACACCUGGAUAUGCUGGCACAUCCCUUAACUUCCAGCAGAGGUAGAAAACCAAGGUAGUUGGAUCUCUGUGAGUUCCAGUCCACUCAAAGCCACAUAGUAAGAACUUGCCUCAAAGGAAGGAAGAAGGAUACAGAGGAAAGAAAGAAAGAAAGAGAAAGAGGAAGAAAGGAAGGAAAUCGCAAUGGAAAUAAAGAGAAAAAAAUAAAUUCUGAUGAAGCCACAGCUCUGUAAUAGCAAGGACUCAAAUUUAUUUUCUUUCCAUAUGUGUUCUGAAGUAAUCUUUGAGAUUAAAUUUUUAAAAUGAUUAAAUAUAGCUUGUAAAUGUCUUGUCUGAAGGUCUAUAGGCACACAGUAGAGGAAGUUUCUGGGUUUAUUCUUUUUAUUGACAGAAAAAGAUGUUAUGCAAUUUCAAUGAUUAUAUUAUGGCUUAUAUAGAAUGGGAGAUGAAAUUUAAGAAAUUAGCACUGCCUAUGCCAUCAAAAACACAGUUGUCUGAGCCGGGCGUUGGUGGCGCAUGCCUUUAAUCCCAGCACUCGGGAGGCAGAGACAGGCGGAUAUCUGUGAGUUCGAGACCAGCCUGGUCUAUAAGAGCUAGUUCCAGGACAGCCUCCAAAGCCACAGAGAAACCCUGUCUUGAAAAACCAAAACAAAACAAAACAAAACAAAAAAACACAGUUGUUUGAUUUGGUAUCAUGUAACACAGCUCUGCUGUGCUCACGAGGCUAGGGCAAGAGGAAUUCAAGGUUUAGACUAGCCUGCUAAAUUGCAAAAUCUUACUUCAAAAAUUGAUUUUAAUUAAAAUGUAAAAAUAAAAAAGGCCAUGAAUUUGAGAGAGAGCAAGAGGGGUGUAUAGAGGCAUUGGGGGAGAAGAGGAAAGAGGCAAAAUGAUUCAAUUAUGUUUUCAUUUCAGAAGUAUGUAUCAAAACUUAAAAAAGACUUUCAGAACUGAGAAGCAUGAGUGAUGCUUUAUAAGGAUGUGAUUUUGUUAAAAAUGCCUCAGCCAGGCAGUGGUGGCACAUACUUUUAAUCCCAGCACUCAGGAGGCAGAGGCAGGCAGAUCUCUGUGAAUUCAAGGCCAGCCUGGUCUACAGAGUGAAUUUCAGGACAGCCAGGACUAUUUCACAGAGAAACCAAUAAAUGUGUUUUCUUUCUUCGUUCAGAAUGCUCAGGUCCUUUUCAUGCUACACAACUAAGGGGUGGCAUUAUGGAAAUGAAACAAAGGAGGCAUCAUUUACAAAUAUCUGAAGACCAUUUCUCUGAUUUUGAUGCUGUUAAUGUUGUCAUCUUAUGAAAAACGUGUGGGAGCAGUUACAUCUCUCAAUCCAAAGGAGUUUAUAUUUGCAAACUUUAAUGAGUCAUAAAACAUUCAAACUGGUAGGAAUGAAAGUAUUCAAAAGAGAAAAGCAUUUGCAAUUUGAAGAUUCUAACAGUAGUCCCCACAGGUUUCUAGACAGUGAAUCAUCUCACAGUUUUAGCAAAAUACUGAAUGAUGCUCAAAAUGGAUUUGUUGAUGAAAUACAAACAAGAGAACCUCUAAGGUUGUUGUUAACUGAGUAUUAUAAAACAUUGUGGUGAGACCCUAGCAAAACUGUCUUCAUUGAGCUAAAUAUAAAUGUAUACUUGCACAUAUUCUCAGAAGUUGAUAAAAUUAAACUUCAGUGUUAAGAACUAAUAGACUUCUAUAUUUGUUCUAAUGCUAUCUCACACACACACACACACACACACACACACACACUUCUGUAUUCCCUCUAACACUAUCAUGGGGGACAUAUCACACACACUUUCCCCAGUAUUUUUUCUAACACUACCAUGGAGGACAUAUCAAAUAUACUUUCUCCCAUAUCCCUUCUAGUGGUAUCAUGGGGGACAUAUUACAUACACUUUUUAAAUUUUAUAUCAAAUAACUACAUAGAGAAAGCCUGUCAUGGAAAGCAAAAAACAUUUAAAAUGAUUGUUAUUUUUUAUUUAGGUUAGAAACAAUCUUGUUUCACAUGUCAAUUAAUUUUAAAAUGGAGUUUUACAAUCACUUUAGGUUCACAGCCAAAUCAAGUGGAAUUUUCACAUUUAUUGCUAGCCCCUCUCCUCACUGUAUUAGUUAGCCUUGUUAUUGCUGUGAACAAAAUACCCAAAAGAAUAACUUAAAGCAGAGAAUAUUUGUUCGCAACCAUGGCUUGAAAGAUUCCAGUCUUGGUGCUCGGCUACAUUGAUUCUGCACCUGUGACCAAAGGCAGGGCAUAACCUUCAAAGGCAUUCCUCAGUGACCCACUGCUUCCAGCUAGGCUGUACGUUCAGAAGUUCCCGGCAUCUCCCAAUAUAGUCUCCUCACCUGAGCAACAAGCAGUCAACGUGAGUCUCAUUCAAACUACAAUACCUGCUGUCAAUACCCUAUACUGUAGCAGAGUGGCACAUUUGUCAACAAUAACGAACUACGCGGCACACCAUCAUCACUCAGAGCCCAUAGUUCACGUAAGAGUCCGUGAUUGGUAUUUUAUGUUGUAUAGAUGUGAACCAAUAUAAAAUGACGAUGUGUAGCCAUUAUUACGUUAUCACAGUCCUCUGUGCUCCACACACUCAUGUCUCUCUUUGCUUAACACUAGCAACCACUAAUAUUUUACUGUUUAGCAAAACUGACUUUUUAGAUUGCUAAAAGUAGUGUGUGAUGUGUUGAUUCUGCUUCUGUGCCCUCUGUACAUCAGGCAACACAGGUGAAACAACAUAGCUCCAGUGCACUGUUUACUUUAAAAAAUAUAUAACCGGUUAAACUGGAAGUGUAGUUGUCUGUACUUCCAAAAGAAACAAACAAACUCAAUACCAUAUAUCUUCAUACUUGUGAUCUAAGACCAUCCUUGUGUAUAUAUCCAUUGUCCAUAUAUAAACGCCUACAAAAAAAUUCAUUGCUCUUUCCCCUUCUCAGAGCAAUGUAUCCAGGCUAUCUGUUGUUUCACUCAUGUUUUCUCUUUAUCUACUAAUGUGUCAGUCCCUGUAUCGCUGCUGAUCAUGAAAAGAAGCACACGAUCACUGGGGCAGUGUUGUAGUUAGCAAUUCUGUUGCUGUGAAGAGACACCAUGACCACCGCAGCUCUUAUAAAAGAAAACAUUUCAUUGUGGCCGGGCUUACAGUUCAGAGGAUUAGUCCAUUGUGGUCAUGGCAGAAGCAUGGUGGAGUGCAUGCAAACAUGGUUCUGGAGAGGGGUUAUGAGUUCUCCAUCUGAAUCCUCAGGCAGCAAGAACGAAGAGUGGGCCAGGAGGGAAAAGUUGAGCUUCUGAAACCUCUAAGCUCCACCCCCUGGUGACACACUUCCUCUAACAAGGCCACAUCUAUUCCAACAAGGCCACCUCCUAACAGUGCCACUCCAUGUGAACCUAUGGGGGCCAUUUUCAUUCAGACCAACACAAGCAGUCAGGAAGGAUACAGCCACCCAUGUUUUGUUAAUGGUUACAAUCUUCAUUGCAUUUUUGCCAAAUCGUCACACAAUCAACAACAUGCCGGGUGCCCAAAGAAGGUAUGUAGGGAAGGAAGAGGGACUGGAAGAGACUCGAAAGAAGACUAAUGUUUAGAGCAUAGAUUCUUAAAGGUUUUGCAUCCACAACCUCUCUUCAUCAGAGAAAGUUUUACACUACCCUGGAUAUAUAAGGUGUCUUGGUUUGGGUUUUUGUUCUGUGAAGAGACGCCAUGGCCAUGGCAACUCUUAUAAAGGAAACAUUUAAUUGAGGUGGCAGCUUAUAGUUUCAGAGGUUCACCCAUUAUCAUCCUGACAGGGAGCAUGGCAGCCGGUGGGCAAUCAUACUGCUUGCUACAUCUGGGCCAGAAAUCAGCAGGAAGUCCACUGACUCAGUGGGUGGUAUCCUGAGCAUGGAAAAUCUCAAAGCCCAGUGAAACAUUUCCUCCAACAAGGCCACACCUACUCCAACAAAACCACACCUCCCAAUAUUGUCACUCCCUAUGAGCUUAUAGGGAUCAAAUACAUUCAAAGUAUCACACAAGAACACAAAAUAUAGUAUACAAAUCAAGUUUUUACUGUUAAAGAGAUAUAUUUAAAGUUAUUUGCUAUACCAUGAUUUUACCAUUUAUUAAAGAUGAAAGCAAAUUUGCUUACUAGUGAAAUGUAAAUUCUUGUUUAUUUUAACUAAAGAUAGAGCAGUUACCUAGCAUGACCUGAACACAACCAAAACAUUAAAUAACUUUUCCCAUGGUUUCCUCUUGAGGGCAUGGGGUACCUCUAGCAAUGCCUAACUAAAGUUGUGUAUUAUUUCUUAGAAAAGAUGUUAAUAAUUUCUACUUGUUGACCCAUUCUCUGUAUUAAACAAUGUCUUAUAUAUUUUAUAUUUAUAAUUUUACAAUAGACCCAUAAGAUGAAAGACAAAACUCUUAUUUGGGGAAAGUAGGGAUCAAAAGUAUUGCAUUGAAAAGGGGGGAACAGAAGGAAAGAAGACAGAAGAGGAAAGGAAAAUUACAGUGUUGGUAUGGUUUAUGAAAUUAUUUUGUCUUAUCUUUGCUAUACAUGCACAUGAUCUAAAGCAUUCAAAUAGCCCUACAGUUUUGGGUUUUUUUUUUUAGAACAAUUCUCUAUGCUUUUCCCCUCACCCAUCCUCUUUUCUCAGAGGUAGCGUUUUGCACUCAAGUGUGAGUAACAUGUUUAUAUUGCUGUCUAUGAGUUUUCAGUUUGGGGAAUAUAUCUUCGACAAUGUAAAACAUGGUGUGAUGGUUUGAAAGGAAAUGGCCCCAUAGGCUCAUGGAGAGUGGCACUAUUAGGAGGUGUGGACUUGUUGGAGUAGGUGUAGCCUUGAUGGAGGAAAUGUGUCUCAGUCACUUCCUGCUGUCUGCAUGUGAAGGUAUAGAACUCUCAGAUUCUUCUAUAGCAUCAUGUCUGCCUGCACACCACCAUGCUUCCCAUCAUGGCAAUAAUGAACUAAACUUCUGAACUGUAAACCAGCCCCAAUUAAAUGUUUUCCUUUAUAAGAGCUGCCAUGGUCAUGGUAUCUCUUUACACCAAUAGAAACCCUAAGUAAGACACAUGGAUUAGACCUUUUUCUUCAAUGUAUCUAUCAAUAAAUUUAAAUUUUCCUCUAUUAUGAUUAAUUCAUUAUAUUACUCCUAAAGUCAUUUUUCUAAUCAGUAGUUUAAAAAUGGAAUAAUUUUACUAUGCUUGUUGGACACAUGUUUUGACUUGUUAAUCUUGAUUAUUUUAUUUGUUAAUCUUGAUUCUUUCUCAGCUGUAAAGGAGUUCUGGAAACAGCAAAUAUUGAUGCAUCUUGUUCAAUGUAUGCAUUUUCCAUUCUUUGAAAAUACUUUGCAGCCUCCAGGUAAAGUGCAAACUUCCCAACUAAGCCAAGAGGAAGAUCUUGUCAUUUCUGUCACUUCCAGAGAGAGAGGUGACUCCAAACUUAAGUCUACCUGACUGAGUAGCCAAAAUUAUACAUUGUCAAAUAAUAUAUAACUAAAAUGACCUUCCAUGUAUUGUUCUUGGUACUUUAAGAUAUGUUCUCAUAUCUUAAAGUUAAUCUCAUCUGCAGCUUAUGAAUUAAUAACUGACUUUCAGCUGGGCACACACCUUUAAUCCAGUGCUCAGUAGGCAAAGGCAGGCAGAUCUCUAUGAGUUUGAAGCCAGCCUAGCCUACAAAGCAAGACCUUAUCAACAAAAAAGGAGGAGGAAGAGAAAAAAGAGAAGAAGAAAAAGGAUAGACAAAAAUCAAAAAGAGGAAAUCUGAAUUUUCAUUCUAACAAAGCCAACACUGGUUAUGAAUUAUGAGAUCAUUAGAAAUCAGAGUGAACUCAUGUAUGUAGUUCCAUCCUUUCCCAUACCAUCCAAACUUAUCGUGUUCCCUUUAUAAUGCGAAAAUAAUGUGAUGAGGUUUCUACCAGGUUAUUCUCUCCUCACAAUAAUUCAUACUCUAGUAGAAGAGGUAGACAUGGCAGAGAGAACAAUGCAGUCUAGUGGCCUCCUUCAUUGACAAGAGUCCUGGGGGCCCUGUAAUCUGAAUGAGGCUAUCUUCCAUUUUGCUCCCACUUCCAAGAAAUUUGUUGCUUCUAGUAAACCAGUAGCUGGGACAUAGGAGACCCUCGGCUUUGGUUGGGAUUCUAGCAGAACGCUAACAACAACAUUUUCCCAUAUGAACCAAAUGAGAAAUAACCCUCCAAAGCUGAGGAACCAGUAAGUUUCAGGUUUGGAAAGGGUGUGGUGGCUGAAGACUCGUAAAUCCACAGUUAUCAGCCAUCCUGCUCACAUAUGGCAGGUUUCUCUAUUUCAGAACAGGAGAAGAAAGCCCCCAAACAAAGCCCUGGGUCUCCAAUGCCUGAGUCAGGGACAGCAUAGGGUGCCUAAAAGAGAGGGGUUCGGGUGCCUCUGAAGUCAGUUUUCACUGGCAUCUAGUUAGGAAGGGAAGGUUAUCAGAAAGAGAAGACAAUCAAACUGCUCUUACAAUCCUCAUCUAUGAUCCCAAAACCCAGAAUAGUGAAUCCCACAGAUCAUGAGAAUACACUGUUUUCAUCGGUGAGGAGACUAGGAAGCCAGGGAUAAAUACUCAAGGAUACAAAUUCAUAGAGGGUUGGGGGCAUAGUUCAGAGGUAAGAGUGUGUGUGUAGUGUGCACGAGCCCCUGGGUUUGAUCCCAGCUCAGGAAAGAGAAUUAUAUAUCAUUCAGGACUCCAAAGAAAAUGUUUGGGAAAAUACUUUAAUCAGAGUACAAACUGGAACCCUGAGAUAGGGAAAGACGAGAAGGAAUCCAGUAGGCGAUGUACUUUGGUCUUUGAUCUAUUUGUUUUCCCUUCUUGCCCACUGUGUAUCUGCACAUAAAUUCCAAGUACAUAUGGUUAAGACUAUGGGAAUGUAAAAAAAUUAAAGAAUAAUACAGGUGUUAUAUAAUAACUGUAGGGGAAAGGGUCCAGCCAAAGAAACACACUUUGGCCCUGCAGCCAGAACCAAAGAAAUUCACCCUGACCCUGAAACCAGUGCCAAAGAAACACACUGUGGCCCUGGAAUCAGAGCCAGUAAAAGAAAUACACCCUGGCCCUAAAACUAGAGCCAAAAGGCUAAAAAGGACCAGAGAAAGAAACACACUUUGGCCCUGAAACUAAAGCCAAAUCAGACCCUAAACCUGUUCAGAAAACCAACCAAUCCCUGAGCAGAAGAUCUAGCCAUCCUAAGCUCAGGGAUUGAAAUCUGAACAAUCCCCACCCUGGAAAACUCUGUCCCCUAAGAAUCCCUAUAUAAACCUUGUGUCUGUUCAGCUUGUGGUUGUUCAGAUUACCUGGAUUCUUCCCUCCCAACAAAUCUCUUGAAUGAGGUUUGGGUGAGACCUUUCUACGGAACAACAUACCCUUGGUAGAGCAGAGCAGAGCAGGGGUGUAACACUUUUCGCUGGGGUAAACCUUCCCCUGUCAAACUGAAGUUGUUAAACUCUCUGGGAGAAUAGAGCUGAACUCUUAACAACUUUGCCUAGGAAACCUGCCAGAGCAGAGCUGAUACACUAGGGAAGCUUUUCCCUGAAGCAAGGCUGUAAACUGCUAUGGUAGUCCUUGGCUCCUGAUUACCAGAAUACCUUUCCAUCUGAGCUGUAACACUCAGUAUUCUUUGGCUCCCGAGUGCCAUAAUCCAUCCCUGUCCAUCACAUCCAAUCUGUCAAAAUGCUUACAAUAACUACAUGCUAAUAAGCUUAAAAAGGUAGCCACUCUUUUUUUUCCGAGACAGGAUUUCUCUGUAUUGUUUUGGAGGCUGUCCUGGAACUCACUUCGUAAACCAGUCUGACCUCAAACAGAGAUCCGCCUACCUGAGAUUAAAGGUGUGUGGAACCAACGCUCAGCUAAGAAGCCACUCUUAAGACAAACAAUAAAUACCAAACCAUCUCAACCUAUGAUCUAUAUGGUAUCUCUGGGCUGGAAGGCCAAUAGAGUCUUGAGUGAUAGGCAACUGGGCAGUGGCUGGCUCCUGAGUUCUCAUGUUUUGGGGAUAGGUAGGCAAAGAGAGAAUAUUAGGCUAAGCAGUAGGUUUGGGUUUAUGGGAAAGUUUGAUGCAUGUUGGACAUCUAUGAUCUAGGAAUCUGAAAUGCAUUAAAACUUAGAGACUGCCACGAUGCUUGCAAUCUGUGCAAAUAUUCCCAAACUUGAAAAACUCCAAAAUCUGAAAUAUCUCCAGUUCCAAGCAUCACAAAUAAAAGGGAGUGAACCUGUCUCUUAUUUUCAGAUAAUAACAGAACUACAUUCAUGUCCAGGAGAGGGGUGGAGGAGCACGGAAGGAAUGGAAGAAAAAACAUUAACACAAUCUAACAAAAUUGGAAAUAAAUAAUAAAGAGUGACCAAAGAGUGCUUUCACUUCUAAAAGAGCAGAUGUGCAGAUGUAUAUUGCUUAUUUGUGUGAUACCAGAACAGUGGUCCUGAAAACUCUUGCCAAAGCAGUCUUGCAAACCAAAUGGUUAUUGAAAGUGCAGGCUGAACAACCUCUCUGGCUUCUACUGGAGUACCCCUUUGAGCUUUUUAGUGUAUCUCAAUAUUUUACCUGGGUACAUUUACUUCUAAACUAUUCAUGUGAAGCAAGUACUUAAAAUGUGCAAAGCUUUAAGAAAUAAAUAAUGUCUCCUUUAAGAAGACUUAAA